rnacentral:misc_RNA from 1 species
GUGAAUCAUCGAAUCUUUGAACGCACAUUGCGCCCGCCAGCAUUCUGGCGGGCAUGCCUGUCCGAGCGUCAUUUCAACCCUCAGGGAACCCCCUCGCGGGGGGGACCUGGUGUUGGGGGCCGGCCGCCCAGCGCGCGCCGCCCCCGAAAUGCAGUGGCGACCUCGCCGCAGCCUCCCCUGCGUAGUAGCACAACCUCGCACCGGAGCGCGGAGACGGUCACGCCGUAAAACGCCCAACUUUCAAGAGUUGACCUCGGAUCAGGUAGGAAUACCCGCUGAACUUAAGCAUAUCAAUAAGCG